UUGCUAUCUGCGAUUUGUAAGAUUCGAACCUGCCGCAGGUUCGGUGUUGAGCGCAGCGAAACAACGGAGCCGUUUACGGCGACGGCCCGAAGGGCGAGCGAAGCGAGUCAUCCCGCAAUGCUUACCC
rnacentral:sRNA from 1 species